rnacentral:rRNA from 1 species
UACGUAGGGUGCGAGCGUUGUCCGGAAUUAUUGGGCGUAAAGAGCUCGUAGGCGGUUUGUUGCGUCUAUCGUGAAAACCUGCAGCUUAACUGUGGGCUUGCGGUGGAUACGGGCAGACUUGAGUUCGGUAGGGGAGACUGGAAUUCCUGGUGUAGCGGUGAAAUGCGCAGAUAUCAGGAGGAACACCGAUGGCGAAGGCGGGUCUCUGGGCCGAUACUGACGCUGAGGAGCGAAAGCGUGGGGAGCGAACGGG